rnacentral:tRNA from 1 species
CAGAAAGUAGUUUACAUUAUAAAUAAUAACUUUGGAAGUUAUAGACCCGGGAACAUCCCGCUAUCUGA